rnacentral:rRNA from 1 species
CAGUUCGGAUUGCAGGCUGCAACCCGCCUGCAUGAAGCUGGAAUCGCUAGUAAUCGCGGAUCAGAAUGCCGCGGUGAAUACGUUCCCGGGUCUUGUACACACCGCCCGUCACACCAUGGGAGUCAGCAACGCCCGAAGUCAGUGACCUAACCGAAAGGGAGGAGCUGCCGAAGGCGGGGCCGGUAACUGGGGUGAAGUCGUAACAAGGUAGC